UACGUAGGGUGCAAGCGUUGUCCGGAAUUAUUGGGCGUAAAGGGCUCGUAGGCGGUCCAUCGCGUCGGGAGUGAAAAGCUGGGGCUCAACCCCAGUCCUGCUUCCGAUACGGGUGGACUAGAGGUAUGCAGGGGAGAACGGAAUUCCUGGUGUAGCGGUGAAAUGCGCAGAUAUCAGGAGGAAUACCGAUGGCGAAGGCAGGUCUCUGGGCUGACACUGACGCUCAUGCACGAAAGCGUGGGGAGCAAACAGG
rnacentral:rRNA from 1 species